CCUACGGGAGGCAGCAGUGGGGAAUAUUGCACAAUGGGGGAAACCCUGAUGCAGCGACGCCGCGUGAGUGAAGAAGUAAUUCGUUAUGUAAAGCUCUAUCAGCAGGGAAGAAAAUGACGGUACCUGAGUAAGAAGCCCCGGCUAACUACGUGCCAGCAGCCGCGGUAAUACGUAGGGGGCAAGCGUUAUCCGGAUUUACUGGGUGUAAAGGGAGCGUAGACGGCAGUGCAAGUCUGGAGUGAAAGGCGGGGGCUCAACCCCCGGACUGCUCUGGAAUCUGUACGGCUGGAGGGCAGGAGUGGGAAGGGGGAUUCCCAGUGGAGCGGUGGAAUGCGUAGAUAUUAGGAGGGACACCAGUGGCGGAGGCGGCUUACUGGACUGUAACUGACGUUGAGGCGCGAAAGCGUGGGGAGCAAACAGGAUUAGAUACCCCUGUAGUC
rnacentral:rRNA from 1 species